GACGAACGCUGGCGGCGUGCUUAACACAUGCAAGUCGAACGGAAAGGCCCUGCUUUUGUGGGGUGCUCGAGUGGCGAACGGGUGAGUAACACGUGAGUAACCUGCCCUUGACUUUGGGAUAACUUCAGGAAACUGGGGCUAAUACCGGGUAGGAGCUCCUGCUGAAUGGUGGGGGUUGGAAAGUUUCGGCGGUUGGGGAUGGACUCGCGGCUUAUCAGCUUGUUGGUGGGGUAGUGGCUUACCAAGGCUUUGACGGGUAGCCGGCCUGAGAGGGUGACCGGCCACAUUGGGACUGAGAUACGGCCCAGACUCCUACGGGAGGCAGCAGUGGGGAAUAUUGCACAAUGGGCGGAAGCCUGAUGCAGCAACGCCGCGUGCGGGAUGACGGCCUUCGGGUUGUAAACCGCUUUCGCCUGUGACGAAGCGUGAGUGACGGUAAUGGGUAAAGAAGCACCGGCUAACUACGUG
rnacentral:rRNA from 1 species